AUGUAUGUAAAAUUUCCGUUUUGUCAGUUUCACCGGAUUCAUCCCCAUCAUGCAGAAACAGAAGUUUCCAGCAGAUGGCGCCAGAGGCCGUCUUUUCUCCGCCUCCCCGCGCGCUCCUCGCCGUUUCCGGAUCAGCACGUUCUCUCGAGAAAACGACAUUUCUCUGUCCGCGCCAGGCGCGCGCCGCAGCGGAAAACCCCAGCAAGACGCCUGGCAAGCAGCACAGCCCCACGGGUUGCAGCCCUGGGCGUAAGACCAGCCGCCAGGAAUCCCGGCUUCCAAAUAGUUGAUGGGUUUCGCGCCAGCUCCGCUUUGAAGCAGCGGCCCUGCAGGACCGGGGGUCAGGCUCGUCCCUCCCACGGACCCCCGUGGAAGCAGCUGCCCAGACGUCUUGAGAAGAGUCAGGAAGGAUCCCGACCAAGAUGCAACCUCCACAGCAGCUCAGAGUUCAAUAAAAUGCCAUUACUCGAGCAGCACUUACUGGAGCGGAACAGAACCGGCUGCCCACUGGCCCUUGGCCUCGCUGCCCUCACUGGAAGGACCAGAGUCCAGAGCCUGGCUGCAUAUUCAAGGACACCAGCCAGACAGUUCAGCAUCAGCAGGGGGUUGCAGCUCAUAAGGUCAUCGGGCCCAGGGCCCACUGCUGUGGUCGUGGAAUCAGCUGCGAUGUCAUCCCAGGCUGGGCCUGAAAUAUGAAGAUUACUUAAAACUCAUACUAUGCCAGAACAUGGACAUCACAACAAAUUGGGUAAUGAGUGUCAACUCAAAGACUAUUUAAGAUUAAUUGUUGCACAAGAAAACCUGAAAUGCCCUGGAAGCUUAUGGACCAUAAAUGAAAGAAAAGUUCAGCACAACGUCCUCAAGCUUGAAAAGAAUCCUAAGACUUCAAGACUAACAAAGAGAUGUGAAGCCAAAACUCUCCUGAACUUUAAUAACAAAAACAAGGUGUGAUAAUUGUGCAAGUGAGAUGAACUAUUUUUCUAUUCCCUCUACAGGAAGAUAUUAUUGCAGAAUCAUUAUUUUUGCUGUUGUUUGUUUUAUUUUUUAUUUUUAUUUUUAGAGACAGGGCCCCCCUCCCCCAGGCUGGAGUACACGAUCAUAGCUCACUAUGGCCUCGAACUCAUGGGCUGCAGUGACCCUCCAACCUCAGCCUCCCCAGUAGCUAGGACUAUAGGGCAGGCAGAAUCAUUCUUCUGUGAAGAGAGAUAUAUACAGCCCAAAAAAUGCAGAGAAAGGAUGUUUAGAGGUACCUCGGGCAAUUUCUAAGCAAAAAUAUUGCAUUAUUCUUUUGAGUUUUAUGAUAUUCGUAGUAUUGGUCAGUUUCUGAAACUUCAUAAUUUGUUCCAAAUAAAUUUCUUGUUCUAAAUAAAUAUUCA
rnacentral:lncRNA from 13 species